AGAGUGAACGCUGGCGGUAGGCCUAACACAUGCAAGUCGAACGGCAGCACGGUAAGAGCUUGCUCUUAUGGGUGGCGAGUGGCGGACGGGUGAGGAAUACAUCGGAAUCUACCUUUUGGUGGGGGAUAACGUAGGGAAACUUACGCUAAUACCGCAUACGCCCUUCGGGGGAAAGCCGGGGACCAGCAAUGGCCUGGCGCUGAUAGAUGAGCCGAUGUCGGAUUAGCUAGUUGGUGAGGUAAUGGCUCACCAAGGCGACGAUCCGUAGCUGGUCUGAGAGGAUGAUCAGCCACACUGGAACUGAGACACGGUCCAGACUCCGUACGGGAGGCAGCAGUGGGAAUAUUAGGACAAGUGGGACGCGAAGCCGUGAUCCACGCCAUAACCGCGUGGUGGAAGAAGGACCGUUCGGUUGUAAAGC
rnacentral:rRNA from 1 species